ACGUUAGAAAUAAUUUAGAAAAUAUUUUUAAACAUUUUCUAAAAUCAUAAUAUUUUUCAAAAUUUUAAAAUUUUGUGAAUACCUUAAAUGAAUUAAUAUAAAAUACAUUUUUUUUUAAUUUCCAACAAAAACAAUAUUAUUUAAAAAAAAUUUAAUUUUUAAUUUUUUUAAUAUUGCAACAAUUCUAUAACCGUAAUAUGAAAAAUUGAAAACUUUAUUUCUUUCUUUAUUUUAAAAUUAAUUAAGUAAUAUAACUUAAAUCCUUGGCAAACACACGUACGCCUUAAUAACACAGAAAAAACAUGAUAACUAAAUAAUUAAUAUAAAAAAUAAUAAAUUAAAAAUAAUAAUAAAUUUUUUAUCUAAAUAUAUAUUUUUUUAAAAACCAAACUCUUUUAUACUACAAUCAAAAUGAUGCCAUACAAACGAUGAGAGAAAUUCUCACUUUUUUACUCAGUAACCGCAACAAGUGAACAACACACACGUACACACAUACACAUUCGUGCCUUUCAUUGUGUAAAACCGUCCCCACACUUUAGAGGAAUAAUUGCUUGUAUGGUUGUUUCAUCGGAACCAUGCAUUUCGCCAAUCGCCUUAAAUCACUGAACCGUUAUGUGCAACUAAACCGCUCUCAGCGCGCGUAAAAUUCAUUUCUCUUGCCUUAACUGCAGCUGAGAAAUUGCGGCUUAGUAAUGCAAAUUACCUUGCUGCAAAUUACCGUUCAUCAUUACAUACAUACAUAACGGUACUUAUGUAUGAAUUUAUGUAUGUAGAUGAUGUGAAAUAUAAAAUUGGCAAUGCUGAGUUGAGUUUGGAGGCGCUUAAGCAGUGCUGGGUUUGCAUCAGUAAAAGUUGUUCACUUUGAGUUUUUCCUAUAAGAAGUUAUUUUGUGUUUUUUAAUUCAAAACCACAAAAUCAAGCCAAUAAUUUAAAUAUUUAAAAUUAUUAUUAUCGCUUAAUCUUAUAAAAUUAUUAUAAAUUCUAAUUUUAUUAGGGUGUUUAAAUAUUUUUUUACUUGCAUAUUUUAGUUGAAUACUUUGCAGCCUACGAAAAUUUAUCAAAACUUUUGAAAAGCCUCCCAAAAAAAAUUUUUGUUUUUAGAAAUUUGAAAUUUUUUUUUUAGAAAUUUGAAAACUUGUUUUCAGUAAUUUGAAAAUUUCUGAUAGAUAUUUUAAUUUCUUUUUACCAAUUGUAAAUUUUUUUUAAGAAAUUUAAAAUUUUUUUUUCCUAGAAAUUUAAAAUUUUUUUUUCCUAGAAAUUUGAAAAAUUAAUUUUUGAUAUAGUUUAGAGUUUCCAUAUAGUACAAUAUAGCAUUAUACCAUACCAGUUAUAGAUAGGUUUAUCAGUUCAUUUCUCAUUAAAAAUAUCUUUAAAAUAUUCUAAGUGUUCACCCAUCCAGACCAGGGUCGCUAAUUUUUGAAAACAAAAAAAAAAACAAAAAAAUCAUAGUGGGAUGAAAAUGUACAUUGAAAAGAAAGAUAAAAUAGCAGAAAUGAAAGCAAAAUCAUUUUAUAAGGACUUAAUGUAAGGAAGGAAGAAGGGGGUUCUUUGAAUUUUUAUGGGUUACUUGAGGUUUAUCUCGAUUCUUUACUAAACUACAAGUCCCACAGAAAAAUGUCAAAUGGCAAAGUUGUACGUAAUAAAAAGUUCUACAACUUUUGUAUGUACAGCAUUCUCACAUAACCACAAAAUUUAUUUGAAAAAUUCAAAUAAUCAUUUUUUUUUGUUUUUUAUAUUUUUAUUUUCUAUUUUUUUGUUUUUUGAGAAAAUUUUUGUAAACUUACUUUCUUAUUUCUCAAACACACUGUAUUUUUUUAAAUUUAAUAUAAUAUUUAUUAAUAUAGUAAUAACAUUUACUUAGAUAAUUUUUUUCUCACCAUUUUUUAGAGGGUCUAUCAUUUUUCAUCGAAAUUUCUGCAGUAAGAAUAUCUGAUUUUGUUUUUUAAAUGGGUAGGCCUUUUAUUUAUUGCAAUCUCUGCUUUUGUUGGUGUACUGUAUACAUUAUUAUGGUAAAUUUUCGCCGAAAUUGCAAUAAAAGGCCCUACUAAACGAUUCAAAACAGCUUUUCUGCAACUGUUACUAUGAAAUAACAGUUGGAUGAAAUAAAAAAAAAUUAUCAGAUGUUACAUACAUAUAUUUAAUUGGAUAUCUUAUCAACAGACAUUGAUGUGACAGAUUUGAAAAAUUAGUAUUUGCUUACAUCAGCAAUGAGGUCUUCAAAGUUUUUUUGUCAGGAUGGCUUGACUCUCAGUAGUAUAUUUCGUUUGCUGUUAUCCCCUAUAUUUCGAGUAUCGAAUGAAAUCGCAGUUAUCAUAAGUAAAUACUUACUUUAAGGAGCUUUUGAUUUAUUGUAUUUUAUGUUAGAUGGCUGAUCAAAGAUCGCAUGUACAUAGAUUGCCAUAUGUAGUCCUUUGUAAAGCCAUAGGAAAGAAGAACUCCUGUGUUCGAACUUAUAAAUUACAAAUUAUUGCUAGAAUCUUCUCACAAUAUUUAUUUACAGCCCUAUUACGUACCUAAAACAACGGCAGUAUGGUUGCCGUUUGACAAUAGCAUACCAAAAUUUGCAUUACAAGUACGUUCUUUCUUUUCUCUCCUUUUGGAUCUAUAGUAUAUACAAUAUUGUGAGAAGAUUGGUUGCUAUAGUUUCUUUUAGUUAGUUUUUUCUUUUAUUUUUUUGAUUUGUUUUAGGAUUGUAUGGCAUAUUGUAACUCAAUAAGCUCAUUUGCUGAAGUCUCAAAAAUAUGGACGGUUUCGAUUACAAUUUGUUUCGUUAUCUCACCCCUGAACCUUACCUUUCCAUCUUUAUAUUAUUAAUAUUGUUGUAUAUCACUUCUUAUUAAUAUUUUUUUUUGAAUUUUGUGUGAAUGAAGUACAUAAUUGCUAUCAAGCGAUAUAUAAUAUACUUUGUAACUUCAAAUUGAUGUUAAUAUUAAGUCAGCUGUUUCAUUAUAACCUUAAAUAUUCUUAAAUACUUUAUAAGUAAGCUUUAUAUACACUUAAAAUCGCUAUAUGUAUAUAUAUAGUUUAUACUUGCUUAAAGUUUACAUGAAGUUAAAUACGAGGGUAGCUUGAGAUAUGAACUUUUGAGUUUCACCACAUAGUGAAUUUUACAAAUUGUGGUGAAAAGUGAAAGGUGGCUUUAUAUUAACUUUUGAAUUUCACGAGGAGACUUUUACAAAUGAAACCAAACCGCUCUAUAAACUUUUGAAUUUCACCACGAGGUGAGUUUUACAAAUUGUGAUGAAAAGUGAAAGGUAGCGCGAGAAUAAAAGGUUGCCCGGUUGGGAUAAAAUUGCUUUCAAAAAUGUCUCACAGCCCGACAAAAUUAAAAAAAAACAUUGCUUCUUUGAAUUUAUCAACUGAUUCUAGUUAAUUUGGGCGUGCUGAAUUGAAAUCUGUAAUCAGUUUCUAUCAGCUCUAGUUUUCAUGAUAGAGCUUUUUUAUACACUCCACUUAACCUAUGACCUGAAAAAAAAUUUCGCAUUAAAAAUUUAGAAACUGAUUCUAGUUAAUUUGGGCGCGCUGAGUUCAAAUAUGUAAUCAAUUUGUCUCUAUCAGCUCUAGUUUUCAUGAUAUAGUUUUUUUAUUUUUUUUUUCAGGUUUCUGAUUACAGAUUUGAAUUCAGCGCGCCCAAAUUAACUAGAAUCAGUUGAUAAAUUCAAAGAAGCAAAUUGAGUGUUGGCCUGUGUAAUUUUAAGAAAUCAGCUAAUUAUGAGAAUUUUCAACAGAUAUUCUCGAAAAGUAGAAAACAAAUUGAAGGAAAUUUAUGGCGCAAAGCGAAUUGCACAGCAAAAAUUCCACGUACUUAUCAAGCUACCCUCGUAUAUACACAUAUAUUUUUUGCAAAACAAAAGUCUGCUUUAACAAAUUCGUUAACUCAAAAAUUUAUUACAGAGCUUUUAGUAUAAGCUUUUGCUACAUUAUAUUAUAUCUAUUUGUUAUAUAACUUUUGUGUCAGCUUCAACAUUAUGCCUGCCAUAUUACUUAUGUACACGUAAAGCAAAUCUGUUCAACUAUUUUACUUAGUCAACAAUUAAGGUUCAACAAAACUUGCUUUUCUUACAAUUAUCUAAAGUAAAAGAAAUAUAAAAAAAUGAUUAAAAAAGAUAGUAGUUAAUGUUAUUAGCCGUAAAAACUAUACUAAUUGAAAAUCUAGUCAAUAACACUUUCAUAAAAAAUUAUAUGAUAAGAAAAAAUGCACUGACAAAAAUUUUAAAUUUUGCAAAACCGUUAAAAUGCGUGGAAAUUGUGAGUUGGGGAGAGAGGGAGAACGUGAGCUAAAUGAGAGAUCGUGAGCGCUAGUAAGAGAGACGACCAGUUAGAUAUGAGUGAAACCCAAAUAGGAGCUUCUAGGGUCACAUUUUUUAUGCGUGUAAGUUCUACUCUACAUCUAUGUAACAGUUUAUGCUCUGUAACGCAUACUAAGUUUUUAUUAAACAACAUCGAAGUGAUUUCUCUGAAGCCGAAAGUGAUUGGAAAUUUCAUAAGAUGAUUUAUUAGAAAAAAGGUAAAAUUCAAAAAUCAAAAAUUCAUGGCUAUGAAUUUUUAAAUAUUAAUGAGAGUUGUGACAUGAGAACAACGGUAAAACGGGAGAAAAAAUGAGAUAAAGAAAGAUCAAGAGAUAGAGAGAGAGAGAGAGAAAACGAGAGAUAGAGACAAAAAAGAGAGUUAGAGAGAAAAAAGCGAGUUAGAGAGUAUAAUAGAGCGCGUGUAUGAAUUAUAAUACGAAUUAUAUGAUGCUAAACAUAGUCGAAUUGGAUUAAUUACAAACAACAAAAACUAUUAAUUGCAAUUGACUUGGCAUGACUAUGAUUAAGUACCAAUAUUAUUAUAUAGAAUACCCUAAAUAUAAUAUAUAAUAUUAUAUAUAAUUGUAGAAAAACGUAUGUAUGUAUUUAAGAUUACUGAAACACUUAUUUGAAAAAUCUUAAUCAAUAUAUAUAUUCCAAGUAAAUAAGUCCAAAUAUUAAUAAAAGUACAUAAGGAAAAAUAUUAGAUAA